UACGGGGGGGGCAAGCGUUGUUCGGAAUUACUGGGCGUAAAGGGCUCGUAGGCGGCCAACUAAGUCAUACGUGAAAUCCCCGGGCUCAACCCGGGAACUGCGUCCGAUACUGGGAGGCUUGAAUCCGGGAGAGGGAUGUGGAAUUCCAGGUGUAGCGGUGAAAUGCGUAGAUAUCUGGAGGAACACCGGUGGCGAAGGCGGCAUCCUGGACCGGUAUUGACGCUGAGGCGCGAAAGCCAGGGGAGCAAACGGG
rnacentral:rRNA from 1 species